rnacentral:misc_RNA from 1 species
UGGCUCUCGCAACGAUGAAGAACGCAGCGAAAUGCGAUAAGUAGUGUGAAUUGCAGAAUUCAGUGAAUCAUCGAAUCUUUGAACGCACAUUGCGCUUCCUGGUAUUCCGGGGAGCAUGCUCGUUUCAGAAUCAUUUAAAAACUCACAAGCUCAUGAAUCGCCAUGUUGGGAGUGGAUAUGGGUCCUUUCGCUUCCGCCUCUCUCCAUUCUUGGAGAUUGUGGGUAGCCCCCUCUCUGGGAAGCGGAAGACCUCAAAAUGAUUAUAAGCAGUGCAACUGUUGGGUGUUGUUUAAAAGAAUCAACAUAACGCGAUAGAUUAUGUCCAUCUCAACGUUACUGAUUUUCAGCAUCUAAACAAGCAUUUGCUUACGGCCCUCAAAACACACUGUUGGGCAGCAUUCUGUGCGGCCCAGCUUUGGAAACUUGGUCUGAAAUCGAGCAAGAAAACCCGCUGA